UGUUACGUGCUAUUUUUGGUUUAUGGAAAUGGCAGUUUUAAACAAACACAAAUUAAAUUAAACGUCAAUUCUGCUUUGCAAUCGAACACGCAAAAUUUAGUGGGCAAUAAAAUGCGCCUUGCUUUACUGAUAUAUUGAUAUAUUUUCUUUUAAAAAGUGAGUUAUUUAGUGAAAGUGAUUUAGCAUGUUGGCGAAUACCGAUUUAUGUACAUUGGAAUUUAUCAUUCAAUUGAUCUGCUUCCUUAGUUUAAUUCAUUUAUUUUUGGAGUUUUCAGAAAUAUUUGUUACGACAACAAUCUUUCUCUUCUGAACAUUGAACGGGCAAAUUUUUCAUCUCGCUGUUGCCGCAUCCAGAUCAAGAACACAAAUAUCUCCAAAUUUACUUUCUGGGAGAUUCACAUGAUGAAGUAAAUCGGCGUUGUGGUAUCUUCAAUACAACGAAAAGAGAAAUAAUCGAACAAUUGCAGCAAAUGUUACACGAACACAAUGGCCUCAUUAAACUGUUUACGAUUUCGUUGGAACGUAUGCCAACAGAUGAUCAUAGUAUAAUCAUACAAGCGGACAAAAGACCAACAGGGACACAUGAAAGACAAUAUAAUGCACCUACAGUUGGCGAAAUAUCAGUUGUUGUUGUUGGAGAAAAUUUGCAGUCGCGUAAUAUUGUUAUCAAACGUAGAAAUCAAAACGCACUAAAACGGAUAAGUGAGACACAUCGGUCUUACGACGCAAUGCAAUAUCCGCUCAUGUUCUGCCGUGGAGAAGACGGAUAUCACAUAGGAUAUAAGAUGAUAAAUCCGGUGAAUGGUGUCGAGACAAAUAAAAAAGUCAGUUCAAUGAAGUUUUACGCAUAUCGAAUGAUGAUUCGCCAAAACUAUGACAACCACUUACUGAGAUAUGAACGGUUAUUUCAACAGUAUUUUUAUUUUUGAUCUAAAUAUAUAAAAAUCAAAAAUAACUCUUAUUUUUUGAUUUUUUUGAUAAAAGUCAUAAGAGUUACGGUCCCUGUUUUUCAAUAUUGGGAAUUUGUCAAGGCCAAAAAAGGUGGUAUUUAAAGUAUACACAAUGAAAUUAGGAAAAAUCGUUCAUAUUCUACUAAAACCAAUACCGGUGUAAUUUUUGAAAUGAAAAAAAAAUCUAUUUUGGGCAGAACGAAGUUUAUCGGGUCAGCUAGUGAAUUCAUAAAUAUCUUGCUAUGAUUAUGAUUUUCUAUAAGAUAAUUCAAGAAUUUAAUCAAUAUGUUUUGUAUAUUUAAAUUUAACGAAAUUUGAUCGAGAAGUGGCUGGAUGUUAGGUAAAUCAAAAAAAAAGAAGCUCGACCAAAAUUAUUUAUGAAGGUGUAAAUUGUGUGUGACCUAAUGGUCUCUGAUGCUAUCAAACUCUAUAGGUAUGUAUAUUUGCUUAUUUGUAUUACUCAGCAGAUUCCUAAUGUCUACCGUGAUCUUUUUCAAAAGAAAUUGGAAAGAUGUUGAUACAUGAUAGUCAUGUAAAUGACGGCAGGCUGUAUCGUAGAUAAUUAUAUAUAUGUAUGUAUUUAUGUAAGUAUUUUUAAUUCAUUAAGGUGGAGGUACAAUUGAUGGGAAUUUUACAUAUAAUAUAUAAUUUUUAUAAUGAAUAACCUUUACAAGAAUUACACAAAAUUAAAAAAAUAUUACAUAUCGCUCAUUUACUUGAAUAGUGUCACAACUCAAAAAAGUCGAUUUUUCAGGAGAGCGAUUUAAAGUUUUCAAUUGUCUCUUAUUUAGCAAAUGUGGAAAAAUUCCAUAACUUUAAUAACAAAUCUAGUGGCGUGUAAUAUAUUCAAUCCAAUGUUGAGCAUAAAUGGACCAAAUAGAGUGUACUAAUGCUUUUUCUUGGACAUGAACGUGAGCCAUGUUGAAUUAUGUCGUUAUUUGUGAAAAAAUAAUUCAAUUUCGCCGUCAUAAGUCAAAUGUGUCGUUUUCUGCAUACUCAACUCAAAAAACACGAUUUUUGAGUUGUGACACUAUUCAAGUAAAUGAGCGAUAUAUGCUUUCAGCAACCUUUUAAGGUACUUAGCCUUAAUAAAAUAAUAAUAACAAGUAAGGAAAGGCAAGUUCGAGUGCAACCGAACAUUUUAUACUCUGGCAAUUUAUUGCUAUAUUUUUAUUAAGAUAACACACAAUUUGACCAAUACAUUCGGUAUAAAGUCCAAUAGAAAAACGAAAAUAAUCAUAUAUGGUAAUUCCUGAGCCGAUUAAAUUCAUUUAAUAUUAUAUCUAAGAUUAUAUGCUCCUUUAUUUUAGCUAAGAAAUUUCAUAUAUUAGCCGAUUUAUAAGCUAUAGGAUUUUGAAAAUCCUAUAAUUAGCUAUAUGAGAGCUCGGGGAAGUUAUGACCCGUUUUUAACCAUUUCUGAUACAGAGACAUACUAUUAGAAGCAAAAGAUUUCCUCUGAACUAAAUUAAGAUAUCUGACAGAUUUACCGAUAUUUUCGGUGAAAAAUUACCAUAAGGCGCUGAGUUCUUCAAAUUCGAUAUCCGGGGCCUUGAAAAGUAAUAGUCCGAUUUCGACAAUUUUUUCACAAGUGAUGCCACAGAUCAUAUACAGUAUUUACAUAUGUAAACUUUUAUUUCGCUAUCUUCAUUGGUUCCUAAUGUAUAUCUUAUAAAGUGAAGGAAUCAGAUGGAAUUCAAAAGUGAGUUAUAUGGGAAGUUGGUGUCAAGAAAUAAGUGUGCUAAGUUUAAUCAAGAUAUCCUAAUUUUUACUCAAGUUACAGCUUGCACAGACGGACGGACGAACGGACAGACAGACAUUCGGAUUUGAACUCCACUCUUCACCCUGAUCACUUUGGUAUAUAUAACCCUAAAUCUAACUCGUUAAGUUUUGGGUGUUACAAACAACCGUCAUGUGAACAAAACUAUAAUACUAUCUUAGCAACUUUGUUGCGAGAGUAUAAAAAUGAAAGUGGUAAAUUUUGAGGUAAAUUAAUAACUUUUUGUGUUUUCUAGUUUGCAGUAGAAUAAGUUGCACAAGUGAUUUCAAAAAUAUGUUCCACCCUAAUGUACAUGUCUGUUUCAUUUCUUUUAUAAAUAUACAAAUUAAGCCGCAUUUUAAGUCACUCGAUUUAAAACACCUGUAUGGAAUCAAAAAAUAUAAAUAAAUUAAAUAAAUAAACAAUAGUCAGGUAGCGGGCUGAGUAGCUAGUUAGUUCAACUUGAGAAUACCAUUUAAAUGUAAGUCACGCAUCGAGGUCUGGG